UACGGAGGAUGCGAGCGUUAUCCGGAUUUAUUGGGUUUAAAGGGUGCGCAGGCGGCGAGUUAAGUCAGCGGUAAAAUUUCGGGGCUCAACCCCGACAAGCCGUUGAAACUGGCUUGCUAGAGUGGGCGAGAAGUAUGCGGAAUGCGUGGUGUAGCGGUGAAAUGCAUAGAUAUCACGCAGAACUCCGAUUGCGAAGGCAGCAUACCGGCGCCCAACUGACGCUCAGGCACGAAAGCGUGGGUAUCGAACAG
rnacentral:rRNA from 1 species